GAACAGUAGGGCUAUGAAUGCUGUGACGUCAUCGUGGCUAAUUUUCCUCGAUGGCGUCAAAAAUCCGGACACGUAUUACAAAACACUAAUUUGUAAGCAGAUGUCUCUACUUAAAAUUAUAAUGAUUUAUAUGGUAUGAAUCAGAAUUGAAUUAGCCUUUCAAUGGUGUUAUUUAUAUUUUGGUACGCUAAUUACCUGCCGAGAAAUCGUCCGUUGAAAAGCGUAUACGGCUUAUCGAGGGAUUUUCUCGCCGUAAAAUUUUGUGGCACACAGAUUUUUACGAUUUUCGAUUUUUGUAUGCUAUUUUUAGUCGUUUCGUAGCUAAUGGGGAUGCAUCGCAGAACCAAAUUUCCUGUCCAAUCAAAAAGAGGAAAUCCUAAAAUUAUUUAUACCGUUUGCGCCCGAUUUCUAACCGAAUUAGAAGCCAAGAUAUGCCAAAUUGAAGGAAAAAAUUGCUUUUUAAUAAUAUUUAGAAAAGAAAAUUUUUACACGCGCACGCGGAUUUGUGAAGACGAAUAUGUUUUCUACAAACUGCAAAAAAAAUUAUUCUAAAAUAUUAAUAAAUAAAUAGCUACGAAGCUAAUAUGUGAGUGAGGGGUAGUCCUCAAUUCUCGAGACAAAAUCCAGGGGGCGUGGCCGCGCUACGUAUCUUCGCGAGAUUUUCAAGGACGUAUCCACAGAAGAAGAUUGUGGAGCAUUAUCUAUAGAAGUCUUGAUCUUGUCACUGUCAGUUUUCUUGUUUAAUUCUUGUUGAUGCUGGUAAGUUUACUUAUAGAAAUAUUCUGCAUCCUGUCUGAUGAUCCUUUUGAUGGACAAAAUCCAUUUUAAUGACAAAGGAAUGAAAAAAUACUAUCAUAGCAAUCGUCGUGUGUGUUUAUCUUCAUAAUUGUUCCUUAUAUCGUGUUUUAUUGUAAUAGGUUUCUUGUGUGUGUUGUCUUUGCAACUGUUGUCCUGUUUAAAUCUGCCGAGGCCGGUCCCAUGCAAGCACGAGCUGUGAAAGAAGGAGGGUUGAGAAUAGGGCUACAAAAACCUACAACGUAAAACAACAUUUUGUGGCCGUAAAAACCCCACCAAAAUAAACAGUAAAACUAAAAGGAUAUAUUGCAAUUACUUAAGUGAACAAAUCAGUAAAAUAAUCAUUAGUGUGAUGCUUUGAUUCAGUACUAUUUAUACAGCACAAUUUUAUAUAAAUAUUGCACUUUAUAAUUAUAUGUAAAAUUAGUUUGCUAGUGGAUUUGUAAAAUCUGUUGAUUUUAUCCUUAAUGUCACAAGGGUCACUAUCAUUACUAAAAUGCAGUAAAUAGAAUGACGGAUAUUGUAAAUAUUUUAAUUUGACAGACAAAAAAUGGAAUUUAAAUGAUUAUAAUGUUACUUAGCAUGUUCACUAAGCAUCCACCAAAGAUGAUCAGUUUUGUAUAAAAUAUUCAGAAUCUUACAGAUUUUUUCUCAGAUUAAUGAUAUUUGUGGUCUAAGGGGAGUGAACUCUGCCCUAUUACCUCCCUUUGAUUCCUAAAUGCUAAUACAUCAUUGCAUGACUUUUCUAUCACAGAAAAUACAUUUAAACAUGAUACUUUUUGAUUUUUUUUAAAAUUCUAAGUUAUAUUUGUCUUGUCUGUUAUUACUGUAAUGGUUUAAGAAGUGAAAAAGUGUUAUUUUUGAAUUGCUGUUUAGAUUUGCUUCAGUUUGAUAUGUUGGAUGAUGACAUUUGUUCAGUUUUUUGUUUUUUUGGUUUGCGAUAAAAUAGUUUGUGGACGCUGGUGGCAGCCAUCUUGGAAUUGUGGCAGCCAUCUUGAAUUUCAAAAUGGCCAAUAUCGACUAAUAAUUUUUUUUAGUAAGGUUUGAUUCAAGAUUUUUUAAUGAAUAAACCACUUAUUUUUUUUACAUAUAUAGACACUUAUAAACUCCAUACUAGAUUAUAUAAUGGUGGCCAUCUUGGAUUCAAAUAUGGCUGACAUCACCUAAUUUGCAUAUUUGCAUCACCAUGAUUCUUAUUUGGUUAGAUGUUGUAUUAAUUGUUAAUUAUUCUGUAAAUGUAACAGGAAUUUGAAUAUAAAUAGUUACGAUUUCAACAAUA